CGCCAGUCCCUACCUCCGCCCCGCUGGCCCAAACCUCCACCGCCAAGUAUCUCCGCCAGCUACACCACCGCUGGACAACUCGCCACACCCAGAAAACUUCUCUGGGCACCCAUGGCCAUUCUUCGAUCAUCAACACCGGCGGCACACCACCGCUAGCUAUGCCCAGCGGUCAGCAACUCCAACAUCGCCCCAUCAACCGCUCCGCCAGCUAAGUGCUCCACUCCCGCCAGCCUCACGACCGCUUGGCAGCAUCGCUGACCCAAGCACCGCUGGCCAUGCUCAACUGAACUUCACUGCCAAGCGGCUCCGCUGUACUGUUCACCCUGAGCGAGUUUCCGCUGAGCUAGUCUCCACCGAGUUUCGCCGAGCCAAGCUUCCGCCGCUCAGCGAUAUGCUCCAUCAGCGGCAAAAUUCCUCCGCUAAAGCUCCGUCAGCGGCACCCGCAAGUUUUCUCCGCUAGACAGCAUCAGAGAAUCACCAAGAACACCCAACCAUCAUUUCGCCCAGGGCCUCCGCCAGCCAUUUACUCUGGACACCCAGGUGCUGCCGUCGUUGGGUUGCACCGCUAGGUCCCACGCUGCUCACGAGCCUCGGGCCUCCGAUACGCUCCACGUCUCCGCUGACCAUACUUCGGCGGCACCGCACCGCUGACCAUCCUUUAGCACCCGCUAACACCCAUCGUUAUCCAUCAACCUCUGCUCAGUGAGGCCAUCCAUCAGCGGCAAACCUCCCGCUCACCUUCAUCUAACGGUCUCGUCGAAUCAUUCAUCUGCAAUCUCCUUAAGCAUCCGGCUAACGUUCAGCGGCCAGCCCAGCAUCCUCCGCUAGCAAGGCUCUGCCGCCAGUGAGACCUUCCGCCGACUUCUCCUCCGCUGAACAGUUCCCCCAUGCUCCAAGAGCACCGCUGACCAUAGCUCCGCUCCGCUAGCCAAACCUUCCUCCGCUGGUCACCUAAGCUAGCUAAAGCUUCCUCCGCUAGCCAAAGCUCCACCGCUGGCUAAAGACCUCUACCAGACCACACACCGCCAUACUGUACACCGCCAGACCGCACACAACAUAUCGCGGUCAUCACCUCUUCCUCGGCUUUGGCUCUUGGUCAACGCCAAAGAACAGCAAGCUUUAACAUCAGUCCCCUCAUCGCUUGGUCACGACCUCCCGUCAGUCUCUGCUCAUGGCUCUUAGUGAUCAAUUCCACCAGAAGGCUCUGGACUACAAAAAAUCACUCCAGCGAUAAUACAGUGCUCGCUCAUAACACAGCAGUACAGCAGCAGCUCGUUAACACCUGCCAAAACUCAUUAACCGCCAGCAGCAAUAUUGAAUUUGGACCAUGACGGUAGCUCAAGACCAUCCCCCAAAGCUUAUGCCCGCGUUGGAGCCAUAACCAACUUCCAGCUAAUAAUUCCAACACCGGUUGUGGACACUCACCUUGCUUGCAGGAAGACCGGCAAGUUAAGUCUUUCUUACACUAUUGAUACGAACACCGAACAUCAUAUAC
rnacentral:lncRNA from 1 species